AGUGGAGGGAAGAGUGGGAGCAGGCGUGACAGGAAACCCCCCCCCCCAGGGGCGCCACCCGGCGUCUAGGGGCGCCAACCGGCCGAGACAUGUGCGCUGGGCAAGCCAACGAACCGGCAGGAGUGAGAGCAGUGAGAGCCUGGCGAGCCGGCUGAGGCAUGGAAGCCAGACAAUCCGACUGAGGCAAGACGCCUGUCGAUCCUUCUGCAGAGAGGGAGCCCGAUGAUCCGGUGGAGAGUGACGUGGGAUGGUAAGCUGCCAGGCCAACCAAGGCAAGGAAACCUCUCGAGCCAGCCAGGGCGUGAAAGCCCGACGGGCUGGCUUAGGCGCCCCCGGUUCCAUCGACGGCGGAAUCCUCCCCGACGUCACCAACAAAACAAAAAAAUUCCUGGACCGGCUGGGUGAACAAGAACUGACGAUCCGGCUGAGACCUGACGUGGGAUGGGCGCCAUCCGAGCCAACUGGGGCAAGGAAACCUCUCGAGCCAGCUAGGGUGUGGAAUCCCGACGAGCUGGCUAGGCACCCCUGGUUCCAUCGGUGGCGACUCAGAGCCGAUGUCAUCAUACCAACCGGAAUGCCAGUACUCCCCGAUGCUUCGUGUGAUGGCGGAUGCAUUCUGUCCCAUGGAAUUGAUGCUGGAGAGACGAAGCAGGUGAAGGUGAUGGUAGACAAUGAGCUGCUGGGCUAUGCCUGUGAACAGUUCCUGGGGAAAUCUGUGAUGGAGAUAAAGAGUGUCAUUCUGCAGACCCUGGAGGGUCAUUUACGCUCUAUUCUCGGUACUCUGACGGUGGAGCAGAUCUACCAGGACAGAGACAGAUUUGCUGCUCUGGUGAGGGAGGUGGCAGCGCCCGACGUGGGCCACAUGGGCAUUGAGAUCCUCAGCUUCACCAUCAAGGAUGUUUAUGAUAAAGUGGAGUACCUGAGUUCCUUGGGCAAGAGUCAGACAGCUGCAGUACAGCGAGACGCAGACAUCGGAGUGGCCGAGGCAGGGAGAGACGCAGGAAUCAGGGAAGCAGAAUGUAAGAAAGAGAUGAUGGACAUCAAGUUCCAAGCAGAUACCAAGAUGGCCGACUCUAAGAGAGGGUUGGAGAUGCAGAAGGCUGCUUUCAAUCAAGAAGUCAACACAAAGAAAGCAGAGGCCCAGCUGGCCUACGAGCUGCAGGCUGCCAAGGAGCAGCAGAAGAUCCGUCUGGAGGAGAUCGAGAUCGAGGUGGUUCAGAGGAAGAAGCAGAUCACCAUUGAGGAGAAGGAGAUUGACCGCACUGAGAAGGAGCUGAUCGCCACGGUCAAGAGGCCGGCCGAGUCUGAGGCCUACAAGAUGCAACAGCUGGCCGAGGGACAGAAGUGAGUGACCAAUCACUGAGCCGCUCCCAGAAUGCAUGGAAAAUAAGGACAAUGUGUAUGCUCGUUCAAAUUCUGGGUGCAACGCAGGGAUGAAGAAGGUGCUGACGGCCCAAGCGGAGGCAGAGAAAAUCCGUCGUAUCGGAGAGGCAGAGGCCGGUUCCAUAGAGGCUAUAGGGAAGGCUGAGGCUGAAAAGAUGAGGCUGAAGGCUGAGGCCUACCAGCAUUAUGGAGAGGCUGCCAAGACUGCUCUGGUCCUAGAGGCCCUGCCUAAGAUUGCUGGCAAGGUGGCGGCACCCCUGGCCCAGACCAAUGAGAUUGUCAUCCUGAGCGGGGACGGUAGUCGUGUGACCGGCGAGGUUAACCGCCUAUUGGCUGAGCUCCCCGUGUCCGUCAACGCUCUCACAGGGGUGGACCUGAUGAAGAUCCCUUUUCUUCAGAAGAUGACCAACCCUCAAGCAUGAAAACAAUCCAAUGCACCCUGACUCCAAUACAUCUCUCUUAUGCACUCUUUAAAUCAACAAGAAACACUUGAAUACAAGAGUUGUUUUUUUACUACGAAAGAGUAGUCGUUCUCAUUUCCUAGACCCCUGGUGCCUUGUCUCCUAUAGGACCAGAUCAUCUGCAUGGGCCACUGAAUGUUUUUCUUUUAAAGAACAAAAAAAGCAACUGUUCAUUUUAUAUUUUGUUUUUAAGAAGUUACCCCCAUUGUGUUGUACUUACACUCCUCUACAUUAUAGAAGAUGGGCAUUCAUCCUGAUUUUUCUGUGCGGGCUUUAUUCUGGUCUGAAAGGUCUCGCCUUGUGUCUUUGUAGUUUUUUUCAUUGUGUUACAAUUAGUACAUUGGAUAUGCCCAUGGUUUUUUACAGUUACUUGUGCAAGUGUUAAGUAUUUCGUCACCCAUUUUUAUUGUUUCAUUCUUAUGUGCCUGUUAACCAACCAAGUGGCCAAACCUCAGGAAAAGUAAUGGUUUGGCAAUUCAAAAAGUUUAGUGAUACUACAGUGAAAUUCAAUGAGAGAUGUAGAAAUGUACUCCCCCAUCCUCAUAUCAUUUGCCCUUUUCUUUACAAGAAUCUUCACUUCAUUCUUCAUCUUGGGUAUGGGAGAGGUGUGUCUUCUUAGGACAAGACAUGCAAGACGCAGAAAUGAUACACAUGAACACGUGUGCAUCGAUCUUCAUGUCUGUAUGAAGCCAUAUACCUUCAAGAUUAGCCUUAAUAUAGAGACCCGGGAGUCCUGCUAGCUUUCCUGAUCAUCUGGAUUACCUGUCAAUCUAAGCUUUAAUACUUGUUCUACUUCUUUCCAAUUAUUGAGACGUCAUAUGACAAUAUGCAUUUCAGUCUCUUAGGGUAGCCAAUGUUGUGUUAUGUCACCUUGUGGUUCCAUUCUUAAAUUACAUAUACAUUUUUAUAAAGGAUUUAUCUCUACAGUUUACUAGACUCCUUAAUUUCAGGAUUUUACAAGGUGCUGCUUGAUAUCUUUGACUAGGAAUUCAAUACUGCCAAGACCUGUUGACCAUCCAAUCAUUUAUCAGCUAUCUCCACAUGCCUUACCCAAUGUGCUUUAAACACAAGAAGAGAUUUCAGUUUGUUUAGACGUUUGAGUUGGACUGGAGUUCAUUUUAAGUCGUAUUUAUUUUAUGAAAAUAUAUUAGAGAGUUUGAGAUUUCUAGACACUUGCUGAACCAAUGUUGCUCCGGCCAAACGCUAUGCCACGUCCAUGGACGUUCUCCACAAUGAGUCUGGAUGAGUCAUAAUACCCUUAUAACCUAGUGGUCAAACAAGGAAAUGGUUCCAAUCGUUUUUCCACAAUUCAUUUUUCCUGUAGGGGAUUUUAGAAACACUUCAAAUUUGGUCAGUGUUUCAUGUAGGCUUACCUUGGUGUGACGUUGUGAUAACCGUGUAAAUCUCUCUAGGACAAAAACAAAGUAGAUUUUGUCCCCCGAAAAAAAGAAGAAAACAAAUUUAUCUCUAGGACAAGGUGAUUUUGAUCAAUAUAGUAGCCUGUAUUUACCCCCCAAAAAUGAAAUGCUAAUUAUCUGCUAAUGUGGCUAUCAUAAAGAACUACAAAUGCCAUGAUGAUCUGAACAAAACUGCCAAAUCGAGGCAAAGGUAAGAAUCUCUGGAUAAACUAUCUAAUGUUAGCUAAAUUGAGUAAUUAAUAAAUUGGCUACAUUUCUUUAAAUGGACAAUUCUGUGAGUCGUCUUGUGCUUGUUUUAAAUUGACACAAUACCUGUUAGCAAAGGUGUCAGCUAGAGAUGACGUGUAGGAGCUUGCAGGGAUGUGUAGUCUUGCAUUGUCUACUUUGAUACUAAUUAGCAUUUUCAAAUCUGAGUGUAAAUAUAUUGCUAAAAGUCACCUUGUCCAAGAGAGAUUUACAUGGUUGUCAAAACGUCAUGCCAGGGUAAGCCUACACGAAACACAGCCCUUAUUUCAAGUGUUUCUAAAAUUCCCUAUGGUAAAAAAUGAAUGUUGGAAAAACGAUUGAAACCAUUUCCCUGUUUCACCACUUUGUUUUAUGACACCACAACUGUGGGGCUCUAUUAUAGAAAGUACCUCCCCAAUGAUGUCUAGAAUGCAACUCAUUCAAAUCUGAUUGGUCCCAGAAACUGAAGGGUUGGGCCAGAACCAGAACAAAUUGUAAAGUGGCGUUUUUAAAAUGUGUCAUUGGCUUUGAUACUCUGAUUGGUUAGAGAUGAUCCAAUCACUGAUGACUUUGUUUUGUACAACCAUAUAAAUAAGAAUGAAUUCCACCCUUCAUUUUGACAUCACCACAAUUGACUUGACCAAUGCAGAUAUGUAUUCACCAAUGCACCAAAGUAUGUAGCGAACAUAGCGCAACGGAAUAAUUCAGUUUGUGUAGUCAGGCAAAUGCAUUUUAUUUUACAGUAAUGUUAACCUGCUGCCAAUGCCAACGGUGGUAUAUCGCUGGUGUGGGGGAGAAUCUAAUCCCUACUGAUCACCAAAAGUGUUUCUUUGGAAAUACUGUAUUUAUUUUAUUGUGCUUUUAUUAUAUUCUCUGAUGUAAGAUUUACAUCUUAGACCAGACCGUAACAUUUUGAAGUGAUAAAUUGUGUGAUACAGUACUGGAAACCAGAAUGCAACCUGUAUUCUGUUUGAUGAAAUGUCUGGUUUGAAUUGUAUAAAGUUGGAAAUGUUGAACAGGGCCGUAGGCAUGGGUGGACACAGGCCCACCCACUGGGGAGCCAGGCCCAAAAACAAAACAAAAAUUAUACAAUACAAUAUUUCUGCAGGCCCAUCCACCAACUAAUUUCUUUCUAUGCCCCUUAUGUUGUGGGGUGAUGUUCUAUCUAAACAUACUGAAGUCUUUCCCUGAUCAAAAUGUGUUUUUGUUCAGCUGAAAAACACCCAUUGGAUUUUAGACUUAUUUUUGUGCCAAUGUUCUUAAAAAAAAAAUGGAAUCGUGUAUUAUGGAUAGUGUAAUUUGAUUUCAGCGGAGUAGAAGUAGCUUUCAGUUCAGGUAAAUCUACCUUUCGAAUCUAGAAUUUAGUUGAAGACCAAACAUUGUAUGCCUUUAACUGUUAUCUUUAUCUAUAGAGUAUAUACAGUGCAUUCAGAAAGUAUUCAGACUCCUUGACUUUUUCCACAUUUGACUUUUCCUUCCAGAAGGAUAACCAUCUCUGCAGCACUCCACCAAUCAGACCUUUAUGGUUAUGUCCAGACGGAAGCCACUCAGUAAAAGACACAUGACAUCCCGCUUGGAGUUUGCCAAAAGUCAGCUAAAGGACUCUCAGACCAUGAGACACAAGAUUCUCCGGUCUGAUGAAACCAAGAUUCAACUCUUUGUCCUGAAUGACAAGCGUCAAGUCUGGAGGGAACCUGGCACCAUCCCUACGGUGAAGCAUGUUUUUCAGCUGCAGAAACUGGGAGACUAGUUAGGGUCGAGGAAAAAAAGAACAGAGCAAAGUACAAAGCGAUCCUUGAUGAAAAUCUGCUCCAGAGUGCUCAGGACCUCAGACCUCAGGUUCACCUUCCAAUAGGACAAUGACACUAAGCACACAGCCAAGACAACGCAGGAGUGGCUUUGGGACUAGUCUCUGAAUGUCCUUGAGUGGCCCAGCCAGAGCUCGGACUUGAACGCGAUCGAAAAUCUCUGGAGAGACCAGAAAAUAGAUGUGCAGCGAUGCUCCCCAUUCAACCUGACAGAGCUUUAGAGGAUCUGCAGAGAAGCAUGGGAGAAACUCCCCAAAUACAGGUGUGCUAAGCUUGUAGCGUCAUACCCAAGAAGACUCGAGGCUGUAAUUGCUGCCAAAGGUGCUUCAACAAAGUACCGAGUAAAGGGUCUGAAUGCUUAAGUAAAUGUGAUAUUUUUUUUAUUGUUUUUAUUGUUAAAUGUGAUAUUUUUUUUAUUGUUGUAAAUUUGCACACAUGUAUAACCAGGUCUGAAUACUUUCCGAAUGCAGUGUAUUUAUAAUUUUAAAAAGAUUGCACAUUAUUGAAAUAUACAAUAUCUAUUCAGACUUAAUAAAUGUGUUUAUGUGAAUUUGUCUAUUUUGGAUUUAUAUAGAUUGUUACAUUACAUACUACUGGAAAACUGGUCCCAAAUGGAUAUUUCAGCAUGUGAACAUGUGACCCUCAUAUCCUCCAGUCUUGCUGUUGCAAAGUAUUAUUCACUUCCCUGUAAUACAUAUUCUGCCACCUCA